AUUGAACGCUGGCGGCAGGCCUAACACAUGCAAGUCGAGCGGAUGAAUGGAGCUUGCUCCUGGAUUCAGCGUCGGACGGGUGAGUAAUGCCUAGGAAUCUGCCUUGUUGUCGUGUAUAACGUCCGGAAACGGGCGCUAAUACUGCAUACUUCCUGAGGUAGAUAGUGGGGGAUCUUCGGACCUCACGCUAUCAGAUGAGCCUAGGUCGGAUUAUCUAGUUGGUGGGGUAAACGCCUACCAAGGCGACGAUCCGUAACUGGUCUGAGAGAAUGAUCAGUCACACUGGAACUGAGACACGGUCCAGACUCCUACGGGAGGCAGCAGUGGGGAAUAUUGGACAAUGGGCGAAAGCCUGAUCCAGCCAUGCCGCGUGUGUGAAGAAGGUCUUCGGAUUGUAAAGCACUUUAAGUUGGGAGGAAGGGCAGUAAGUUAAGAACUUGCUGUUUUGACGUUACCAACAGAAUAAGCACCGGCUAACUUCGUG
rnacentral:rRNA from 1 species